GAGAUGAGAGUUGGAGAUGUGGUCGCCAGGCAACUCUUCAAGAAGGCAGACUGAAACCACUGGAAGGAUCUCGUUCAUCAACUCAACGUUCAUGAUUCUCAUUAGAAAACAGUCUAGGACUUGGUAUAUAAGUGCCAUAGUUUUAAAAAUAUGAUCAUCGUUGUUUUAAAACCAGUACUUAAUGGACAACAUUUAAGAUAUUUUUAAUUAGUGUGCUAUUUCACUGGGAAAUAUUGUCAAUGGUAUGUUUUGAAUGUUGUCAUGGUACAGUGCAGGGUGAACUGUGUAAACAUUCCCAAUGUUUUUCCUCAUAUAGCACUAAGAUAGUUCACAAUGCCAUUGAAUGUUCCCUUUUGUGUUGUAUGUGGCUGUUCUGUGUCCAAAUAUACCACCUGAUGCUCCACACUACAAAUACAGACAUUGCCUCUUUAUGGGACCCAUG